CCUACGGGUGGCAGCAGUGAGGAAUAUUGGUCAAUGGCCGGAAGGCUGAACCAGCCAAGCCGCGUGAGGGAGGAAGGCGCAGAGCGUCGCAGACCUCUUUUGCCGGGGGACAAAAGGCCGGACUCGUCCGGUCCUGAGGGUACCCGGAGAAAAAGCAUCGGCUAACUCCGUGCCAGCAGCCGCGGUAAUACGUAGGGAGCAAGCGUUGUUCGGAAUGACUGGGCGUAAAGGGUGCGUAGGCGGUUAUACAAGUUAGAAGUGAAAUACCCAGGGCUUAACUCGGGUGCUGCUUCUAAAACUGUAAGACUUGAGUGCAGUAGAGGAUAGUGGAAUUCCUAGGGUAGCGGUGGAAUGCGUAGAUAUUAGGAGGAACACCAGAGGCGAAGGCGGCUAACUGGACUGCAACUGACGCUGAGGCACGAAAGUGUGGGGAGCAAACAGGAUUAGAUACCCGGGUAGUC
rnacentral:rRNA from 1 species